AAAUCAUUUUUUGAGGAGCGGGGGUACAGUUUAGUUUUGUUUUUACUUUUACUUUUUUUUAAAAUUAUUAUUUAACUCUUUAUAACAUGAUUUUUAAAUGUACACAAAGAUAAAAGGAAAAUUAUAAUGAACACCUGUGUUCUAGUCAUUUGGCUUCAACAGCUAUUAUUUUCCUUUAAUAGAUAUGUAUGGAAGGGUGGAAGCUUUGCUUUCAUCUUACUCCUCUGCCUUUCUCCCUAAAACUCUCUCUUCCCACCCUAUUACUCAGAAAUCUUUUCCUCAUUCUUUGUGUGUACUGUAAUAUAUUUCAUGAGUCUCAUGUGAAAUUUUCUCUGUAAUACAUAUAGUAUUCAAUCUAUAACCACUAAGCGCACUUUGCAGAGUUAAAAAUCUGGGAUUUAUAGCAGUAUUAAUUUUAUUUAAUAAACUAUGAAGUUAAAUAUAAAUAACAUCGGGGUUUAUAGCAGUAUUAAUUCUAACAAGUAUGCUUAAUGUCAUUGUCUUUUAGCAAACUGAAACCGUGUCAGUUCAGUCUUCAGUAUUGGGGAAGGGUGUAAAACAUCGACCCCCACCAAUCAAACUUCCCUCAAGCUCAGGAAAUAGUUCCUCAGGUAACUAUUUUACACCACAACAGACAAGCAGCUUUCUCAAAUCUCCAACUCCUCCUCCUUCUUCUAAGCCACCAACUAUUCCUCGGAAAUCAUCUGUGGAUCUCAAUCAAGUUAGCAUGCUUUCUCCAGCUGCCCUAUCACCUGCCAGCUCAUCACAAAGAACCACAGCCACCCAGGUCAUGGCAAACUCUGCUGGACUUAACUUCAUCAAUGUAGUGGGCUCUGUUUGUGGGGCCCAGGCUUUGAUGAGUGGUUCAAACCCCAUGCUGGGCUGUAACACUGGUGCCAUAACUCCUGCAGGAAUAAACCUGAGCGGCCUUCUACCCUCAGGAGGUCUGCUACCAAAUGCAUUGCCCAGUGCAAUGCAGGCAGCUUCUCAAGCAGGUGUUCCAUUUGGUUUAAAAAAUACUUCAAGUCUCAGGCCCUUAAAUCUACUCCAGCUUCCAGGUGGUUCACUUAUUUUUAACACUCUGCAGCAGCAGCAACAGCAGCUCUCCCAGUUUACACCACAACAACCUCAGCAGCCCACAACUUCUAGUCCUCAACAGCCAGGGGAGCAGGGUUCUGAACAAGGUUCAACCAGUCAAGAACAGGCCUUAUCUGCUCAGCAAGCUGCUGUUAUUAACCUUACUGGAGUAGGAAGUUUCAUGCAGUCACAGGCAGCUGUGUUGUCUCAGCUUGGCUCUGCCGAGAACAGACCUGAGCAAAGCCUUCCUCAGCAGAGAUUCCAGCUCUCCUCUGCCUUUCAACAGCAGCAGCAACAGAUACAACAGUUGCGAUUCUUGCAGCAUCAAAUGGCUAUGGCAGCAGCAGCAGCACAAACAGCUCAGCUACAUCAUCAUCGGCAUACAGGCAGCCAGUCAAAAAGUAAAAUGAAGAGAGGCACGCCAACCACUCCAAAAUUCUGAGUCUUGCAUUACUUUUUGUUCCUUUUUUAAAAACACAAGAGCAUUGAAUCAAAAGGAUUGAGUUUCUACUUUUUGUUUUUUUUAAUGUGUCAGUAUUUUACAUUGCUAGAUGUACAAACUUUAUACAGAAGCACAACCUUAUCAUUUUUAAAUAAAAACAGGGAAAUGGUUUAACAAACUAGGGUUGGUUUGCCUAAGUCAUUGCUUUUUAAAAAUGGUUUCACUAUACAUAAUAUAUAUGGAAGUGACCUAAGAAAUAAUAGAAACAUCUUUCAGAAGAAUGUAGUUUGAUAUUUAUUUAGUAUAAAACGUUUGUGCACAGUGUUAACAAAUACAGUUUUUACAAAUCUGUUUUGAAAA
rnacentral:sRNA from 1 species